GCCAACUCAAUGUCUCUUUGCAGCGCUCUGCAUGUAUCUGGCCAAUUGCUCCUGUCUGCUCAGUAGCAGUCCACGGUGCACACAGAGAGAGACUACGGCUUCAUGAUCGUUUUUCCUUGUGUUUCCAUUUCUUCAUAAAAUGGCUCCAGAAUGGGUAGAGGAGGAAGUUGUUAACCGUGACUUCAAACAUACCAGCUACGUGAACUACUUAAAUGAAGAACACCUACCCAUGAACAGCCAUUGGCUUUCAGUCACAAAAACAUCCAAUCUUCAGUCCUGCCAUGUGGAAAGAAGAGAACUGCCUGCCCUAAGCAUACUCUUCCAUGCCAGAGGUAUUUAAAGCACAGCUCUCAGGCCUCGAGUGGAGACACACUGCACUGUUCACUUUUUUCCCAGGUGCUCAUCCAGUGCUGUCACCAGGGCGGCUGUGGUUCUGCCCUCUGUCAGAGCAAUGGGCAUCAAGUUUUGUUGAAGCGAGAUGAAGAAACUCUAGAGAUCUGCUGUACUAUCCUUUACCUACAGUCAAACCAUAAUGCAGUGUACACCUUAAAGCGUGUCA